AUUAAACGCUGGCGGCAUGCCUUACACAUGCAAGUCGAACGGCAGCACGGGGGGAACCCUGGUGGCGAGUGGCGAACGGGUGAGUAAAGCAUCGGAACGUGCCCUGGAGUGGGGGAUAACGUAGCGAAAGUUACGCUAAUACCGCAUAUUCUGUGAGCAGGAAAGCAGGGGAUCGCAAGACCUUGCGCUCUGGGAGCGGCCGAUGUCGGAUUAGCUAGUUGGUGGGGUAAAGGCCUACCAAGGCGACGAUCCGUAGCGGGUCUGAGAGGAUGAUCCGCCACACUGGGACUGAGACACGGCCCAGACUCCUACGGGAGGCAGCAGUGGGGAAUUUUGGACAAUGGGCGAAAGCCUGAUCCAGCCAUGCCGCGUGAGUGAAGAAGGCCUCGGUU
rnacentral:rRNA from 1 species